UAGCAGUGCCUCCAUUCAUUCGGAGGGUUAGUCUUGUUUCGGCCGGCAGCAACGGAACAUCAGCGGAACCGGGGGAACGCCGUAUGUCGUAUGUCCGAGUGUGGCCACCGCGAUAUACCAUUUCUGUUUGGGGCGUUUCUCUCUUUAAUCCGCGCCUAAAACAACGCGCCUGUGUAUAGUAGUGUUUGUACGCUUGUGUUUAUACUGUUACUGGAUAAGUGAGGUGUCGGGUGCGCGUCUGUUGCGUCGAGAAUAGCAGCAUUUUCGGAAAUUACUAUUAGACCCGUUCGCUACACUUUUGUAACACUUCCAUCGAAUUUGCUGCAACGAUACAUCCAGAGUUGAUUUCGUUUACCAGUGAACACCGUCGACGAUACAUAUCGCGAUCGCUGGCAGUGGUGUCCGGAAUAAUGAUCACAUCCCCCAACACCAUCACCAGAAUGGCUGCACAAGCGAGUAGCUUACGAGGCCCUCGGUCCGUUAUCGAUUGAGAGCAACGAUCGGAUCGUGCAUCAGUGUGUGCGUGCGUACGUAGGUUGUUGGUGAACGAUUUUUGCAAAACGAUUAGUGAAACUCCGAAAACAUAACCAUUAACCCAGCAAUUGUAAGCAGCACAAACCGUCCCCCACCCUCGCCGGCAGCCAGGUUGAACAGCAAAAUUGAAAAUGUUUUCCCUCUGCUCCAAGCCCGCCACCACCAAUAACCGUGCACCACAGCAGCUCCAGCACGUUACCUGUAAAACAUGCAAUUCGACGGUCGGGAAGCAGAUCAAAGGAGGCUACCUGCUACGCUACCGAAAGCAAGUGCUUUGGAGUCGCUGGUCGGAGGAGUGGGUUGUCCUGUACGAUGAUUCGACCAUGGCCUGGUUCACGGAACCGGGACGAUCGUCACCUGCGGGCAAAAUACUCGUCAAAGAGGCACCAGAAAUGCUGGCGAUAGCACACUGGACCGGUCAGAUACCACGACGACCGCCAUUGCCGGAUGGCGUCAGCGUGUCGCAGCUGAUCGCACUCGGUUCACGCCGGAAGCGCUCGAAAGUCUACUGGAUGAUCGCAAAGUCGGAGGAAGAAGUAAGCGACUGGAUUUCUGCCAUCACGAAAACGCUUCCACCGCCACCACAAAUCGAGCUGGUCGUCGAUAAGCCACAUCUGCUCGGUGUCCUGCGGAGACCGAUCGUAAGGAUACGACCGGCCACCAGCACGGAGGUGUCGGCAAGGCGGAAAAACCGGCACAGCAUCGAGAACAACACGACCAAGGUGAAGGGAGAGGCGGCCGUGGCCAUCAUCAAGAAGAGCGCCCAGGACAACAACGCGGAACCGAAGGGAUCGCUCGCGUGCGCCCUACCCUGGGGCCACGGUUGGGGUUGGGCGACCCUACCGAAUGGCAUCUGGAGUGGAGCGCUCACCUGGUCGCAGUGCGAGGAUUCCAUCACGCUGCACGCCCUCCCGACGACCCACUGUACCAACAUGAUAGAGACACCGUGUGCCGGCGGCAUCUACCACACCGACAUCGGUCCGUUCGAUCUGCACGGGAUCGAGGACGUCGGGGGCGAGGACUUUGACUACGCGAUGGAUUGUGGGGAUUUCAUCUUUUAAAACGACGAUAUAUCCCCGUAGGAGCGUCACCAGUGCGAUGCAUGGGAGCGUCCGUGUGUGUGUGACGCACUUAUCCAUCAUAAUUGAACUGCUGACGCCCGAUCCCCGCAGCCCCGCAGGAUUUGGUAAUGCCUAAACAAGCCCCGUUCCUUCUCGCACUCCCUUUCCAAUAUCUACUCAACAACCGCCACCAAUGUCACGAGAACGCGAUGGCGAACUACGUGUCGAACAUUGCUCUGUCGGCUCGGAUAUUAUGCGAGCUCAAAACGAACGAAGUAAAACUCCCACAAAAAGUCCACCGAUAAAUGUGUAGCGCAGCAGCAAAUGCAUUAGAUACAGUUCAGAUAGACGAGCACCGGAACGGUGGCGAUUACGGUUCGAUCGAGCGUGCAGCCUGCAAGCCAAUAUUUAAUCUAGCAUCUAACCUUUGUCACCGGAUUUGUCCGGAUUUGUAGCGAAGAAGCAAACAACCACAGCGUAACGUCUGUCGAUGUAGUAGCAUUUUGGGUUCGUGGCAACGUUCGCAACGAGCCAGCAGCCAGCAUCUUAAGGAUGCUUCUCGGUGUGAUCAUAACAUAUAUAUCUAUACAUACAUAAACGAUAUAAAUGUCGCCAGGGCAGCAGCAUGUUCGGAGUAACAGAACGGAACCGUGUUGUUUAUAAUGUUUGAUGAACCCCCCACUCCCGUAACAUCGUAGUAACAGACUUUGUAGACGAAUAAGCAGACGGAACCGUCGACAGCAUUUUAGAAUAGUAAUGAAUCAGUAUUGCCUUCCUAAAUAUUAGCGGAGAAACGAAAGAAAAAUAAUAGAUCUAUAGUAAUGAGUCCAAAAGGAAUUGUAACAUGUAAACCAACGACACUAGGACCUAGCGGCUUCAAUGUGGUGCGGUAGCGUCAGCGAGAUACAAACACACUCUCACACAUUCAAAACCAACCAGUGUAAAUCCAUGUGCAGCAUCCAUUGGUGGAAGUACUGAGCGUGAGGCGGGAAAAUUUUGAAACAAAAAACAACCUCUGCUGUCGAACAGCUUAUGAAUCAAUCAUAGGUUACCUCACUAUAUUCUCCCCCUUCCCCGGUCGAUUCAGUGCGUCGAGAGACUUGUUUGACUAAUAUUAAAGACUUUAAUACUGUUACACGUGAAUCAUAUUUUUAUACCUCACAAAAAGGAUGAUACUUAUUUAAUGCGUUAUUGCAAUGAUGUUAAAUGCGUCCCCCGAACCGAACGGUUCUCAACUAACGUGAUAAGUUUUACCAUUCAAGACCCCCUUCUCUGGCUCGGGAGCCAAGAAGCGACAUAUUUUAAAAAUCAAACCGAAAAAAACGGAUUCAAUCAUUCAAACUCCUGCGACCAGACCAAUUGCGACCACCAUUACCGUUUUGUAUCUUAGCGUGGAACACAGCAGGAAUGGUCAAGCAAUGACAAUGUAUAUGCCUCACGCUCACCGAUAAACACGGGGCAGGCAACCUGUCGAGCAACGGCACCGCGGUCCUUUUGCAAAAGUGGAAACAAAUUCGGGGUAAAGCUUAAUUCUACAUUAAUUAAACGGGUAUCCAAGGGAUCCUCCUUGCGAGAUAUCAGCUACAAUUGCUACAUCAAAUGACCAUUUGUGAUUUGGGAGCACAACAUGCAGCAGCAACGACUCGAGACAGAAUGAGAGAGAGAGAGAGAGAGAGAGAGAGAGAGAGAGAGAGAGAGAUGGCAUCCUGUGCAGCGUGUGUUCAACAAAUACAAAACAAUAAUUUAACUUCCAUGCAUUGGUGCAACUUGAGGCGACUUGUAAACCAGUUAGGUUAGCUUUAGUUUUGUCGAAACAUAAAAUCGAUUUUAGAGUACACCAUCCCGGUAUCCUGGUCCUAAGUCCUAAGUCGAAAAAAGAAGCUACUUUGGAGGAAUACUGGAGUGGGACACGUUUCGAAACAGCAACGGAUUCACCAGUUGAUAUUAUAUUGUUCAAGUCAAGAGAUGCGGUUAACGUUCAUGUUUCGAGAUAUAUGUAAGAUUCGUAGCAGCAGAUGUAUGUAUUCCCGGUGUCCGAGAACGAGACUCGAGAUGAACGAUGAGCUGCCCCACCACGGGCUUGUCAUCGUUCCUCUGUUUGUCUCGAAUGGGACGAUGAGAUGAGGAGAACGAAAUGUCACGAGCUAGAUCAUCCAUUUCCACUGCGUCUAAAAUGGCUCAUAGUAGAGGUUCAUAACCGCAGCGCAGUAUGAAAAGUCACUUAUUAAAUACGGGUAGAAACUAGCAAUUUACCAGCUGCUCCUGCGGAAGAUGGGACGAAGAUUUUCGAAACUCUUUUACGUGAGCAUUAGCAGCACCUCGGCCGGUGGCCGGGCUCGGUCGGAAAAAAGGGCAUCCAGUUUUGAUAUGGAUGUCUGUACGUACGUUGAACUCCGUUUCCGCAAGAGCCACACCCGUUGUGCUUAGCAGACGUUACACAUUACACGUAGCCCGUACCACGUACGUAGCAGCUCAAUGGCCCCGAAACAAUAAUAGUUCUUAGACUUACAGCAGAGCAUACCCCCGUAAAUUUGAGCUGAUUAGUACCAAACCUGAUAGAACCUACUCCAAUCCGAUUGAGUAUUGAGUCCGUCACCGUCUUUUAGAGUCGAUAGUGUCGAUCAAAUGCCUCGUUUCCUCGUGCAGAAAUAUGCCGUAAAGCGCGCUAAAAUAAAAACUAGGCCCCCAUAAAUAUCAUACAAUCUACUUGGAAAGCAAAACCCCAUGUUAAACAAUAGCCGGUGUGAUAUCGAUCAAUCUUUAGUGUGUAAGCAAAACAAAAUCGACGGAUAAAUGAUCAAACAGUUCAUCAUAACAUGGCCGGAACAAUCAGUGGUGGUAUUGCGGUAGCGUUACUAGGAAGGAUUUAGCAAACAAAAAAAACAACCAAAGCAAAACAAACACAAAACACUUAAUGUACGGUGCAAGGGAGACGAAAGCGAAACAUUACCCUAAAUGAUACAAAACAAUGCACCCGCGGGGCAACUGUUUUUUAGAAAUAUUCAAAUCGAUGUUUGCAACUUAUCGACAUUUUUAAAUGUGCCGUUGCUCGUAGAGCGUAAGCGAUACGUAAGUAUGUGUGUGUGUAUGUGUGUGUUACAGCUGCUACCACAACGUGCUACAAUAAUAAAAAAAGGCGCGUUCAUCUUAAGAAUAUGGCUGGAACUGGCAAGAGAGGCCGAAGCAUACAUGUAAAACCAUUUGCAAAGCAUUAAAAGCGAAGCUCAAUUAUGGGACGAGAUCACCGAUCGCUGGACGAUCGCCGAUGGUGGUGAUGUUUUGUUUUGGAAAUUUUGAAAAUCUCACAAAUAGCCGAUCUGAUCGGACCACGAAUAACGAACAACAAACAUGUGGCUGCAGAAUAGGGAUCUUUGCAAAUCGUUGCGUGCAUUGAGUUUGAGCGCGUGCGUGCCAGAGUGCGUUUCGGAAAGGAGCCAAAAGAUGGGCGACUUUUGGCUUCUUUCGAUCGGACAACUUCACACAGAAGGCUCUCUAGGUACUGGGAAGUACUCGCACAUGGAGGAGGGAGAGAAUGCGGAAGAACAUUUGUUAGCCUUUUGUGGGAGCUGCUUUCUGCUGCAGGCGGGAGAUGCAGCGUUGAGGGAGCGAUUUUUUACGAUACGUUACCGCGAGCAGAGGAUAAUAUUAUUUGUACAAUCAUUAAUCGGCAUUGGCGUUGCUUCCUCCCACGGCUCACUGUUGAACAGCGAGUUUUUGGUGUGGUGUUGCAGCAUUUCUUAUAUCUAGCAUUUAGAAGAAAACAAAAACGAGCCACAACAUUGGCAAACGGAAGCAAGCAGGAAGAGAAAACAAGAAAUAGGCAAGAACGGUAGGUUUCGGUUGAAACCCAUGCCCCGGUAAUACAUUUCCGAAUCCAAUGGUUCAUAGGAUUUCAUUCCUUGCUCCCGUUGCCCCAACCACCCCAUUGCCAGCCUUUGGAAACUUUCGAAAAACAACACAAAUGCACCUCGCUCACACAGAGCCCCACACGUACAGUUCCCAUCGACACUCAUGGGGUACUAUCCCCAUCCCUUUGCCAUCCUGCAUAUAUUCUGCACUUAUAGUCUCGUAUCGCAACGCUCCCUAAAUUGUACGUGUCCGAGUUGUUGGAGACGAAUUAUGGAACGAAACCAAUUGCACAAUCAAUUUUAAAGGCAAAACAUAUUCACCCCACCACAGGCCACGCGACACGCAAUAAUAUAGUUUAUGAUAAUAACAGCAAAUCUGCAAUACGAAACGAUGACGAAUACCUAGAAAACCAAUUAGUUGCAACUGACACUGGAAACCGGCAGCGAUCAUUCAAGAAAUAACACACAAGAUAUCAGUUCGAUCGCGGUAGAAAUACCAUCGUCGUCAGUUUUCGGAUCCUACUGUCAACGAACCCAAGCCUCUGUUGUCAAAUAAAACCGAACUUUAAU